rnacentral:rRNA from 1 species
UUGAACGCUGGCGGCAGGCCUAACACAUGCAAGUCGAACGGUAACAGGAAGCAGCUUGCUGCUUUGCUGACGAGUGGCGGACGGGUGAGUAAUGUCUGGGAAACUGCCUGAUGGAGGGGGAUAACUACUGGAAACGGUAGCUAAUACCGCAUAACGUCGCAAGACCAAAGAGGGGGACCUUCGGGCCUCUUGCCAUCGGAUGUGCCCAGAUGGGAUUAGCUAGUAGGUGGGGUAACGGCUCACCUAGGCGACGAUCCCUAGCUGGUCUGAGAGGAUGACCAGCCACACUGGAACUGAGACACGGUCCAGACUCCUACGGGAGGCAGCAGUGGGGAAUAUUGCACAAAGGGCGCAAGCCUGAUGCAGCCAUGCCGCGUGUAUGAAGAAGGCCUUCGGGUUGUAAAGUACUUUCAGCGGGGAGGAAGGGAGUAAAGUUAAUACCUUUGCUCAUUGACGUUACCCGCAGAAGAAGCACCGGCUAACUCCGUG